UAUAUUUUAAUGUAAAGUGCAUAAAAAUUUUUGAAAUUUUUUGAAAUAGUUAAAAUUUAUUAAAUAUAU
rnacentral:tRNA from 1 species